UCCAUUGAUUCUGCCAUUCCAAGGCACACAGUUUAAAAAGGCCACAUUACCUGGCAAUGUUGUACUGGUAGCUGGUAAGAAGAACAGCUGCUGCACACUAAAUAAUGGAACAAUUAUUAUUGUGGAGAACUUUGUGCAUGACAAGUCAGGCACACCCUUUGUGAUAGGAAGAGAGUUCCUCCAAAGAAGAGACUUGUAUACAAAACCUUGUCAAUCAAGAAUGCUUGGGAUUUGCAUUGCAUCUCAGCUUUCUGGCUUGCGGUCCUGGCCAGUUCAGAGUAUACUUCAGAAAUGUCUGAGAGUGUUGUUCAAGAGAGAAAAUAUUAUUUUUCCACUUUUGCAUGCUGUUGUUCCGCAAUAGUUGUCAUGUUGCUGUACAGAUGUUGCAAUUUCAUUUGUCCUCAUUAGUGUAAUGCUUUUGGAAAUAAACUAGGUUUCUUUCUUUUUUUGCAAGGUGGCCUCUACAUAGUAGUGAAAUUUCCUGAAGAAGAUGAUGCUGUUGCCAUUAUACAUAAAAACUGGAUCGAUGGCAACGGCUGCAUGUGGCCUCCACAAACAAAAUACAUAAAAAGCUUGUUAAAAGCUGGGGCCAUGCCUGGAAAUGACUGGAGGAGUCUGCCUUGUGAAGUGGUUGAGGCAUUUGCCAAUUACGAUGAUGCUGUACGGGGCCUCAGAAAAGCUGAAGACAACUCAGACAUCGCAAGUGCAAGUGAACGUGGCAGAGGAAAAAGGAAAAAGAAAAGAAGGCUCUACAGUGACGAAGACGAGAUGCCACUCCCGCAGCCACCACAGUCUAUGCAGAAAAGAGCAACACAUGGUAUUGCAGAAAGAUCUGCAAGGAUGGAACCGUCAAGUAUUUCGACUGUUUCACAGCACUCGGCAUAUAAUG
rnacentral:lncRNA from 1 species